CUACAUUAAAAUUUUCACGAAAAAGUCUUAUGAAAUAAAAUGUUCCUAAGAAAUGAAUAAAAUUGCACUAAUUUGCCUUAAAACAGUUUGGAGCUGUUUCAGUUUUUAUGCUUAAAUUCCAGCAAAACUAGAUUUUUUGGUACAUCAACCUUUGAUCAGAAGUAACAACUACAUUUGAUAUUGUGCUAAAGACACAAUUCAAAGUCUUUUCCACACAACUGUAUCAUAUUUUGUCAUUUUAAGACAUGCACAGCUCAAAAGUCAUGUCGCUGUUUCUGUAUGAUAUGGAGCUUGUCAAGCAAUCACAGCUGCCUCUGUUCAUGCCUGCCUUUUUCCCCUUUCCCUGUUUGGAACUGCCCCCCCUGCUGGCCUCUUGCUGAUACCCUUUUAAUUCCUAAAAUGGUAACCCUUACCUGCAAUGUUCCUGUUUUUUUUCUUCUUUUGUUUGUUCAUUUUUUGGUCAUUGCUUUGGCCUCUUUUUCUUUUUUCCUUUUUCUUUUCCCCUCUCACUAACAACUUCAUUCAUAACUUCCAUCCCCAUUCACCCAAACACUCACCCUGCUCCCCCCCUCCCAAAACAGCAGCCAGCAGAUACUGAGCAGGGCCGCCGCACCUCCCUGGAGAAGUUCACCCGCAGUGUGGGAAAGUCUUUGACGGGAAAGCGCCUGACUGGUCUGAUGCAGUCGUCCUGACACAGACUCAGCUGGAGCGGCUCAGACAGACCCUGUCGGAGGGGCGACGGCCACUGGGCGAUGGUGGCAGCGGUGCGGGCGGCGGAGCUGGCCUGGACUAUUCUGCUGUGGCGGCUCACAGACACAGCACCGAGGACUGCUGCUGUGCUGAUAGUGCAGCUUUGGGCCGGACUGAGUCACUGAGGAAAAGACAAUGCUGACAUCCGGAAACCUCCGCCAACACAUCACACGGCAUGCGUCAGUAUACAGUGUAAGCACAUCCAGACUAGGGCUGCCCUCAUUUCUUCUAUCAGUUGGAAUGUCAACUUCAUAGUUGUUGUCGUUUUUUGUUUUUUUUUAAUUUAUACGCAUUUACUGUACUUAUAAUAUUCUAGGAGAUAAACAACAUUUCCAGUGUUUUGUUGACAAACAUCUUGUUUACUUCAUGGCUGCUUAAAUAAAAGCUCAAAGGUUUUUAUGUUUUAAAUAUUCCAUGGAACAUUCAGAAAAGAGCAGCAAUAAAUAAGGCAUGAGACCACUUUCUUUUUCUUAAAGUAAUGCACCCAGCCUCUUUUUUAUACCCUCGAAAUUUAUAUUAAUAUUAUAUUACUAUGUGUUUCUUAUAUUACACAUGGCGAGUGAACAUUCUGUAGGUUUGUCAACGUUGUCUCCACACAUUGUUUGAGUUAUAAGGGCUGACUGUAGCAUUCACAUUGCGCUGUUACGCACUAUUAGGCCGUUCACGUCAACAGUGACAGGGAAUUAUUGAUAUACAAACUUGAUUAUUUUUGUCUAAAACUAAUGAAAUCACUGAAAUCUUUAUUUUAUUUAUUAAGACAAUAUUCACAGAACAUUUCUGCCAAUAUGAGCUUAUAAAUAUGUUUAAAUUCCCAACAACAAAAGCAAAAAUUUGGAAGUAAGUCCCUGGAAAAUACAGAGUUUAGAGUUAGGGUUUAGAUUUAGAGUUAGGUUAGCGUUAAAGUUUGAGUUUAGGUUCAGGAUUAAGGAUUAGGGUCAGGGUUUGGGCUUUAACAACUUCCAAGUAUACGAUAAAUAUCCCAAAUGUUUAGCCUGAACAGCAAAAGUAAUGAUUUUUAUUCUUUUUUUUUUAUUCGGUCCUUUGAUUUCAGUUGCCUAAUGUCAUUGUAAAUACUAUUAACUUUGUCUCCCUAUAGUUUUUUUAAAUAGGUUUCCAGGACCCAGACGCCAUCUAGUGGUAGUACAAUUACUGGCUCAUUGGCAGAUAUUCCAGAGCCCGGUUGUAUUUGCACUGCUAAUUAUUUCAUCCAAGUUAUAGAGUAAUUACUGCAAACAAAGAAACCCAUUUUGCUUGGUCAGAUGUAAGCCAUGUUUGUCAGUUUGAAGUCUAAUGUUUUCCUAACUAUGCUCAAAGUGGUGCAUGAUAUUGUGUUGACUCAGUGAGAAAGGCUUUGACUCUCCAAACGACAGACAUGCAGACAGAUGGGGGGAAAUCCCUGAACAGUAGCAACACUCCUCAGUGACUGAACAUCACGCCUCAAAUCGGAGCAGGCAGGACAUGUGAGUAGUCAUGG